rnacentral:misc_RNA from 1 species
GACAACUAUUGCUAAAGCUUAUUACAAUUGGAUGUCUUGCCAAUUUGAGGGCAGGGCUUUUCUUGCCAAUGUUAGGGAAAAUUGCUCAAAAGGCGGUCUACUCUCUUUGCAAGAACAGCUUCUUUCAGAAAUCCUUGAGAAAAAUGUGAAAAUAUGGAAUAUGUAUAAAGGAAUGGACAUGAUAAAGAGUAGGCUACGCUUCAAAAGGGUCUUGAUUGUCAUUGAUGAUGUGAAUCAAUUAAAUCAGUUACAGGAAUUGGCGGGGAAAAGUGAUUGGUUUGGUUCAGGAAGUAG